rnacentral:rRNA from 1 species
AGAGUUUGAUCAUGGCUCAGAACGAACGCUGGCGGCGUGGAUAAGACAUGCAAGUCGAACGCUUGAUUUCGGGUAGCAAUAUUCGGAGUCAGGAGUGGCGCAAGGGUGCGUAACACGUGGGCAAUCUGCCGCGAAGACCGGGAUAACUUGCUGAAAGGCGAGCUAAUACCGGAUGUGAAAUCUGGAAGGCAUCUUUUGGAUUUUGAAGCUGGGGACCGUAAGGCCUGGCACUUCGUGAUGAGCCCGCGGCCUAUCAGCUAGUUGGUGAGGUAACGGCUCACCAAGGCUAAGACGGGUAGCUGGUCUGAGAGGACGACCAGCCUCACUGGAACUGAGACACGGUCCAGACACCUACGGGUGGCAGCAGUCGAGAAUUUUUCACAAUGGGCGAAAGCCUGAUGGAGCGACGCCGCGUGGGGGAUGAAGGGCUUCGGUCCGUAAACCCCUGUCAUUUGCGAACAAACCUUUUCAGUGAACAACUGAGAAGCUGAUUGUAGCAGAAGAGGAAGGGACGGCUAACUCUGUGCCAGCAGCCGCGGUAAUACAGAGGUCCCAAGCGUUGUUCGGAUUCACUGGGCGUAAAGGGUGCGUAGGUGGUUGUGCAAGUCUGAUGUGAAAUCUCCGGGCUUAACCCGGAAAUGGCAUUGGAAACUGCACAGCUAGAGGUUUGGAGGGGGGACUGGAAUUCUCGGUGUAGCAGUGAAAUGCGUAGAUAUCGAGAGGAACACCAGUGGCGAAGGCGAGUCCCUGGACAACACCUGACACUGAGGCACGAAAGCUAGGGGAGCAAACAGGAUUAGAUACCCUAGUAGUCC